UGAGAGCCUGCUGUAUGGGAAAACCAGAUACACUGCUUUGCAAUUAUUCCAGGACUCUGAAGAGCUGUCACAGGUCACUAACAGCUGAGUAUCACUAGCUACCUUUUCUCCUUCCUUUCCUGUGGAAGAGACUCAAAGCCCCGGAGCAGCAUGAAGGGAGGACACAGGUUUUUUACUUACUUCAGAAUUUCACAUACUGCCUGUUUAUAGAAGCCAACUCGCUGAAAAUUAACAGACCUUUCCUUGUUAAUCAGUGUUGCUCGGUGUUUCAGGGGGAAAAAAAAAAAUCUAAGUCAACCGACCUUCGGAAAUGUCUUUUGGUCGGGAAUUUAGCCACGUUGGUGAGAAACACGAGCCGCGCCCACCAGGAAGUGUUUCUGAGGCAGGUUGGGGGAGUUUGCUUUCAAAAGUCAGGAAGGUGCAAAAAUGCGAGUUGAGUCCCUGCCUGACAGGUGCUUACACUUCGCCCGUGACUUUAUGGUUGUGUGACCCCUGUUGUCGUUUAAUGUUUCAACCGUCUAGCCCCUGCUCCCCUAAUGAAAAGGGACAAGGGCAGGUGUGUCAGUCAGGGUCCUGUGGCAGGAAGACGUACACCUGGAUGGAACUUGGAAGCGAAUUGGACAAAGGGAUGAUUUCAUAGAGGCAAGGGCAGGAAGGGGAACUGCCAGGACUGCGGGGGCGACCGGGACUGGCUGCGGUGGGCAGUCUCCGCCACCACUUAGGCCUCUCGGGAGCUGGAGUCAUGAAGGAGGGACUCCCCGGGGUUGGGGGCUGAGGUCCUGGAGGGGUGCAGCCAUUACUGGCGCGUGGAGGGAUGGGUCUAGCUCUCCAUCUCCCGCCAGCGCCAGACCCAACUGGAACUCAGAGACCAACGGAGCCCAGGCAGAAAUAAUCUCCAAACAGCUUUUGUACCGUGGGGGAUAGGAUGAGGGAGCCAUGCAGGGAAGGAAAGAGGACGGGGCAAGGACAUCUAGACUGGAAGUAGGCACCCAGCAAAGAAUGAUCAUCAAAAGAGCAGAUUCUGGAGAGAUCCACGCAUACCCAGGACAUCCCCCAGGUGUCUGUCCACUGGCCGUGAUUGCUUUUGAGAUGCUGAUUCCAGUUCACUGGGAAGCAGUCCGAUGUCAAAGAGAGAACGUGAGCUUUGGAGUCCCACAGACCUGGGUUUGAAAGUGAACUCAGCCUCUUCUGUCCGUACAGCCCAGGGCACAACAUCAUUGUGACUCAGUGUUCUCAUCUUUAAAA